CGGGCUAGAUAGCCUGGGCGACAAGCCUCUGAGUGCUGUGUCUCUGGUGUAAAGCUCUCAGUUCCUGCAGAAGACCGUGUUCCUGUGGGUCUGGUUUCUGAGGGUCAAGGCGGAGGUCAUUAGAGUUUUGGGGAGAAGAAAGUUGACAACAUCCUUCCUUUCUGCAGAUGGUCAUGGCAGAGCAGAGUCUCCUUGGAGGUGACAUGGAUAUGGGCAACCCAGGAACCCUUUCGCCCACCAAACCUGGUUCCCAGUACUAUCAGUAUUCUAGCAAUAAUCCCCGAAGGAGGCCUCUUCACAGUAGUGCCAUGGAGGUACAGACAAAGAAAGUUCGAAAAGUUCCUCCAGGUUUGCCAUCUUCA
rnacentral:lncRNA from 1 species